CAUUUUUAUGGUGAAAGCUGAAAGUUGCUUCGUAAAGUUAAACAAUGUUAAAUUCUUAGAUUUGGCGAACGUUCUUGCUUCGUCAAAGACUGCAAAGGUUUAUUUAUAUGGGCACUUCCUGUCCUGUAACGAUUUAUCUCAAUUCAACGUUAAGGAAUUGUUUUGUGAAUCUUUCUGAUUCUCUUAACAAAGUUGGUCUUCUAUUUGGAAAGGCUUGAAUAAUCAGGUUUACUGUGCAGCAAUAUCACCAGCUCGUGAUGAUAAAGCAAGUUACGUUGCAUGGGGUCAUACAUCCAUAGCAGAUCCCUGGGGUAAAGUGAUCGCAAAAUGUGAGCACCGUGAAGAUAUUGUGUUCGCCAAUAUUGAUCUUCAGUACUUAGAGGAUGUUCGUAAUCAAGUUCCAAUUACAUUACAAAGACGAAAUGAUCUCUAUUCUGUGGAGAGUGUUAAGAGUCAAUUGUGAACCUCAUCAGGUGAUGUGUCUUAGAACUUAACUACACUUUACUCAUAGAAUUUAACAUACUACAUUAAAUACUCCACAACUUUACAACAUGUUAUCUUGAGUAGAUCAAUAUUGAGGAACUAUUUAACAAAAUGAUAAAAACAAAAUAAUUAGACUUUUGUGUGAUAAAGAAUUUUCAAGCAUCAUUUUUUAUGUUAUUCAAAGUUCUUCCUGAUAUUAUACAAUAAUUGUUGUCUAGGUACCACUAAUUUUAGUGUUACUCAUGUUCCAACAUUUAUCA